rnacentral:lncRNA from 1 species
CCUCUCCCAACCCUUAUGACGAGCCUUCUGUCUUUCUCCUUCGCUCCCCUUGUGUCCCUGUCUCAUAUCUAAGGAAAAGAGAAUGAGAGAACGCAUGUGCACUGAUUUCACAUGUCAUUCUCCUUUCAGUGUUCUUGGCACGGAUUUAAAGAGAAAAUCCAUUCUAGGAGGGGUGGAAUGACAAGGAGUUAUUGAUUUCUCAGUGCAGAAAGAGAUUACAACAAAGGUAUUGCAUGUAAUUUCUGUAGAGUCUUCUAGAUCUUGUAAAUUCUAUUCUUGAGCACAAGGCUAUUUGCAAAGCAAACAAGUUCUAAAUGCCAAGGAUUUGAUUUUUUUCUUAUUCUUCACAGCUUCAUAUUAGAAUCUAUUCAAUCAUUUCUUUUAUGUAUGCAUCUUAUGUUUUUGCUUUGCUUCUCUGUUUGAUGGAAGUUGCUUUAAUUUUAGUAGUGUAGAUCCUCCAAAAGUUGGAAAACAACAGAGGUAAUGUAAUGCUGAAGAUAGAAUCAAUGUGAAGGUGCAAGACAUUUUAUGUUUCUUUCUCUUUUUAAUAGCAAGAAUUAGUUCCUUCUCUUCUUUUUCCUAUUCAUCUUCUUUUUUUCUUGGUACAUAUAAAAGAUUCCUUUGAGACUGCAUGGUAAAUCUAUUUUUGUGGAUGAAAUCAUAAAAUUGAUCUCAUUUUCUUAAAGAUUAAAUUUUGGAUCAAGGAUCACAUCCAGAAAACUAACCUCACUGUGAUGGCCAAUGCUUUCAGGCAAUUUGUGAUCCUGUUUUUGGAAACAAACCGCCUUCGCAGCACCCUUUCAAACCCUGAGCUUGGUGUGAGUUCGCCAUAAUCCCAAUCUCAGAAAAGAAGGGUGUCGUCUUUCAGCAAAACCUGUUCACUUCACGGAUCUGGGAGGAAUUCAAACAGGACAGCUUUGUGAUAUAAGGCUGUGCUAAGUGGCUAUUAGACCUCAAAUUUAAAUGAGCAGGAAUUCUAUGAAAGCAUCUACUUAUCUGAAAGAAGAUUGGAGUUCCAGGAAGCUUGUCGAGAAGAUGCUGUAAUCAAACCUUUAAAUGCAUUUCGAGUUACUGAGCUAUCAGUCGAGUAUACCAAGCAAUCAGACUGAGACAAGCUUGCUGGGUUGGUUCCAUGGAGGGCAGAAUGAGGAGGAAGAAACUGGAAAGUGGUGCAAUUAUUGGGCACAAGAGAACUCUAGUGCAUGAGCCGGACCAAAGAGCUACUCCGACAGUCUAUUUCAGCAUGGAAUCGUUUCUGCUGCUUCUCUUCCUCACUGCAUCACUGCUGAUACUCCCACUUGUACUGCCACCAUUACCACCUCCCCCUUCCAUGCUGCUUCUGCUUCCCAUUGGCCUUCUCCUUGUGCUUUUGAUACUGGCUUUUAUGCCUUCAGAUGCACGAAAUAUCACAUCCUCCUACCUGUAAAUAUCUUGUGAGCUUUCCUUUUGCAAAUCAUGAGUGAGUACAUCUUCUUUCCUUUAGUUAUUUUGAAUCGAACCUGAAUAUUUCCUCCGACAUGGCUGUGAUUUCAUAUCACAAAAGCUAAUGUCAGGUGGAUGUGUUGCCACCUCUGAACAUCUUCGUAUAGAAUUUCUCCAUUAAGAACUACAGAUGCUAACAAGGGAGAUCAUUUUAAGCAAGAUGUUGAGAGAAUUGUAUUAUUAUGAGCUUGCAACGUUCCCUACUCCUGCUGAUAAAUAUCGGAAAUUUGCACUGAGCUUACAAGAUCUCAACACUGCCGACAAGCAAAUAGCUCCAGCUAAGAAGCUUGAAACAGGGAACAAACUGAAUUUAUCUGACUCAUUUCUCUUGAGUUGUGACAGCGAAAAGCUUCAAGGACUAAAGUUGUCAUAGAGAGAUGCCAUACCGACAAGGAGCUUUUGGUGCUCACGGGUUUAGAGAGACUGUCUCACUUGUCUUCUGCAUGAUCCAAGUAUAGUGAUUGAGAAAUGUCAUACAUAAAGAAAUUGAACCAAAUUUUUGUUAACACUGUUCCAAAAUACAUAUUUGAGCAAACAACACAUCUGAAUUUAUUUGAAAAGACUCUGGUUGUCAAAUAUUAGUUUGAUCAUUUUGUUUUAUCAAGAAUGCAAGAAAUGAUGAUUCUAAUGUAAAUCUAUGAAAUAAAGCAUGGUUAUCAAUAACACAUACAGCUCUCAGAAAGAUCUCAGAAAGAUAAAAGGACACUCAGCCUCACUACACCCUUCCUAUUUUUUUCUUUUUUCUUUUGUUAAAUAGGCUAUCAAUAUCUUCCUGCCACCCUCCUUGUAAAAAUUUCUGAAAUAAUAUAAUCUUAUAAAAAGUUCAUUUUGCUUGUUAUGAGCCCUUGCAAGUUGCAACCACAGUCAUUGUUCAGGCAUCGCAUUUGCUGCUUGAAAGGUACUUCCCUAUAUUCUAUGGAAAAAAACCUGGAACGAAUGAUUGUUGAUUAUAACUGGAUGUAUAUAAGUAUGGAGUAGAGGAGUUAAUAUCAUUGUAAGGUGAGAGGACGAGAGUCAAUAGUUUUUGCUUAAAUCUGAUUAAUUUAUGCCUUAUUUUUCAUAUUUUACUUCUUGUACUGUUUGCAAAAUCUGAUUAAUCAAUGCAGCUAAAGGAUCAACAUCCUAUGGUCACUGGAGACUACUUCUUGAUAUCUUUGGCAGCAUUGUAGCUUCAGGAAGGCUUCUGAGAGUAUCCAAACGUACAGAGCAUGCACAAAGGUGGCAGGAAAGACUGCAGCUGCUGGGUUACAAUUGUUAUCUUGGUAGGUGCAGUUGCUUUUGCUAUAUCCUGACAUGCAUAAUGUAAUCCAUCAAUUCAGAAACUAUUUGGCCCUCCCUUGGUGCAACUCUGCAUCUUACCUUUGCUGUGAGAUGAAUCCACCAUUGUCUUGCAGUCGGAGAUAACCUGAGUUUUUAGAUCCUCAGACACCUCCUGUGUCUGUGGCAGUAUACAGAGGGUAGUCAGUGCUAUCAGGACACUAGGUCAUCUGUGGUAUCAUUUUCCAAGCUAUAAUCAUCUUUUUAGCCACUUCUAUAUCCAUCAUGCCACUAAGAAUCAAAUCAACCACAUAGAAUUGAUGCCUAACAGCACAAUUAUUUGAUCUUUUCAAAAUUUUCUUAUGUUUAACAGGCAACAAUGGUGUGUCAACUGUUGACCCAACUUUAAUCCAAUUUCAAUGCUUCAACUAAUUUCUCUUGUUUUCAUUCUCCUUUCAACUAAUUUAGUAUGUAAUAGUUUGUAUAUGUUGAACAUCUUAUGUUCUUUCUGAUGAAUAUUGAUCACAAUCAGUUUAAAUCUUUACCAAAGCUUGAUGGAUCUUAUUCAAAGAUUCUAACAAAUAGGUCUUAAGGGACAAAAUGUCUUUUUCUUAGUAUUAGUAUCACACAGUAAACCUAUGUGUGUGUGUAUGUAUAUAAUAAUAUAUAUAUAUAUAUAUAUAUAUAUGAUUUGAGAGAGUAAACUUUUACAUUUAAAUAUUUUAUAUUUACUUUCCAUAUCAUAGAUUAAUCUAUUAUUACCAAAAGAAUUAUUUUAAUAUAUUACUAUAUUAUGAUUGUGGCCAUCAUGGUUAAGCUAAAUUUAAUUACUAUACUUAAGCUUUUCUGACUCCUAAAUUUAUGAACCAAACAUGUCCAAGAUUUGAUUAUUCUGAUUUAGGUUCCUGUAAAUUUGAAUUUAAAUAAUGAGCCAUAGACCACUUGUGUCUUUUAAAUAAGAUUAUAGCUGGUGUAAGAUCCACAGUCAUGCCUUGCAAGUUCAAGCUUUUGCAUCCUCACCAAAAAUCUUCUUCUUCCAAAUAGAUUUGAGGCAUUAGUUUGUGAGUACAUUCUACCCAAACCUGAUGGAUCAGUGUUGUAACUGCAUACAGAUCAUGGGUAUCCAUUGGUCUCAUCUUGAGAAUUUUAUUUCAUAUGUAUGGGUAGUGAAGUGGUCUAGAGAAUUGGACAUUCUUUCACCCAGGUGCAGUUUUAUUCAAUCCUGAACAUACUCAAACUGCACACUGUGGUGCUGGCUCUUUGUUCUAGGAACAAUUGCAAAAAUGUCAUCUCCCAGCAUCUUGGGGUUUGUAAUUAGAUUCUAACAGGAAAACAAGGAUGGUCCUCUCAGCUGUAAUCAUGUCCUAUAACCUAUCUAGGUACAUGAAGGGAUCAACAGGAUUAAUGCACAAGGUGGAGCAUCUUAAAGAGGUUUCUCCGGUCUUAAAUCAUGGGAAGCGUAAAAGAAUCGCAAUAUGGACUUGGUACAGAUGAAGAUACUUAUGCUACAGAUGUACAUAAAGCAAUGAGAUGCUAGGUUAGGACCUCUUACAUGGUUUAAGCAAUAGAGUGUGGUCAACCAACAGCAUUGUAGAGUGUAGGAGAAGGGGCAUGAGCU